AUACGUAGGGGGCGAGCGUUGUCCGGAAUGAUUGGGCGUAAAGGGCGCGUAGGCGGCCCGGUAAGUCUGGAGUGAAAGUCCUGCUUUUAAGGUGGGAAUUGCUUUGGAUACUGUCGGGCUGGAGUGCAGGAGAGGUAAGUGGAAUUCCCAGUGUAGCGGUGAAAUGCGUAGAGAUUGGGAGGAACACCAGUGGCGAAGGCGACUUACUGGACUGUAACUGACGCUGAGGCGCGAAAGUGUGGGGAGCAAACAGGAUUAGAUACCCUGGUAGUCCACACUGUAAACGAUGAAUACUAGGUGUAGGGGGUAUCGACUCCCUCUGUGCCGCAGUUAACACAAUAAGUAUUCCGCCUGGGGAGUACGGUCGCAAGAUUGAAACUCAAAUGAAUUGACGGGG
rnacentral:rRNA from 1 species